CUCCUACGGGAGGCAGCAGUGGGGAAUAUUGGACAAUGGGCGAAAGCCUGAUCCAGCCAUGCCGCGUGUGUGAAGAAGGCCUUUUGGUUGUAAAGCACUUUAAGCGAGGAGGAGGCUACUUGGAUUAAUACUCUAGGAUAGUGGACGUUACUCGCAGAAUAAGCACCGGCUAACUCUGUGCCAGCAGCCGCGGUAAUACAGAGGGUGCGAGCGUUAAUCGGAUUUACUGGGCGUAAAGCGUGCGUAGGCGGCUUUUUAAGUCGGAUGUGAAAUCCCUGAGCUUAACUUAGGAAUUGCAUUCGAUACUGGGAAGCUAGAGUAUGGGAGAGGAUGGUAGAAUUCCAGGUGUAGCGGUGAAAUGCGUAGAGAUCUGGAGGAAUACCGAUGGCGAAGGCAGCCAUCUGGCCUAAUACUGACGCUGAGGUACGAAAGCAUGGGGAGCAAACAGGAUUAGAUACCCUGGUAGUCCAUGCCGUAAACGAUGUCUACUAGCCGUUGGGGCCUUUGAGGCUUUAGUGGCGCAGCUAACGCGAUAAGUAGACCGCCUGGGGAGUACGGUCGCAAGACUAAAACUCAAAUGAAUUGACGG
rnacentral:rRNA from 1 species